GCUCCUUUAAACAGCGCUCUUAAUCCCGUCUCCUCGCGCACCAGGAAGUGAGAACGCUAGAAUCAGCGGGUAAUGGCUACCUGCCUGGACUCCUGCAUCCUGGAUCUGCGGGGAAAGAGUUCCAGGAUUGAUUAGUGAUGUCUGCCGCAGGAUCCAACUUGAUGAUCUAAGUACCCGUGGCCAGAUGGGGACUGUUAAGAACAAACAUGUUGGUGACGUGGCUCCAUAUAAUCCCAAGAAGCUGACUCAGCUCCAGGCAUCAAAGCCCCACAGAACAUGGUCCCAAUGAGAUGGAAAGAGCAGAAAGAUCUGAGUUCUGGACUUCUCUGGUG